AUACUUACCUGGCAGGGGAGACACCAUGAUCACGAAGGUGGUUUUCCCAGGGCAAGUCUUAUCCAUCGCACUCGGGAUGUGCUGACCCCUGUGAUUUCCCCAAAUGAGGGAAACUCGACUGCAUAGUUUGUGGUAGUGGGGGACUGAGUUCGCGCUUUCCCUUG
rnacentral:snRNA from 1 species